AUUGAACGCUGGCGGCAUGCCUUACACAUGCAAGUCGAACGGCAGCACGGGUGCUUGCACCUGGUGGCGAGUGGCGAACGGGUGAGUAAUACAUCGGAACGUACCUUAUCGUGGGGGAUAACGCAGCGAAAGCUGUGCUAAUACCGCAUACGCCCUGAGGGGGAAAGCGGGGGAUCGCAAGACCUCGCGCGAUUAGAGCGGCCGAUGCCUGAUUAGCUAGUUAGUGGGGUAAAAGCCCACCAAGGCGACGGUCAGUAGCUGGUCUGAGAGGACGAUCAGCCACACUGGGACUGAGACACGGCCCAGACUCCUACGGGAGGCAGCAGUGGGGAAUUUUGGACAAUGGGGGCAACCCUGAUCCAGCAAUGCCGCGUGAGUGAAGAAGGCCUUCGGGUUGUAAAGCUCUUUUGUCAGGGAAGAAACACCGGCUCUAACACAGUCCGGGAAUGACGGUACCUGAAGAAUAAGCACCGGCUAACUACGUGCCAGCCGCCGCUGUAA
rnacentral:rRNA from 1 species